rnacentral:rRNA from 1 species
AUUGAACGCUGGCGGCAUGCCUUACGCAUGCAAGUCGAACGGCAGCGGACCUUCGGGUGCCGGCGAGUGGCGAACGGGUGAGUAAUAUAUCGGAACGUACCUUUCAGUGGGGGAUAACGUAGCGAAAGUUAACGCUAAUACCGCAUAUUCUGUGAGCAGGAAAGCAGGGGAGUCGCAAGACCUUGCGCUGAUUGAGCGGCCGAUAUCAGAUUAGCUAGUUGGUGAGGUAAAGGACUCACCAAGGCGACGAUCUGUAGCGGGUCUGAGAGGAUGAUCCGCCACACUGGAACUGAGACACGGUCCAGACUCCUACGGGAGGCAGCAGU